CCUACGGGUGGCAGCAGUGGGGAAUAUUGGGCAAUGGGCGCAAGCCUGACCCAGCCACGCCGCGUGAAGGAAGACGGCUCUCGGGUUGUAAACCUCCUUUAAGAGGGAAGCGCAGAAGACGGUACCUCUUGAAUAAGCCACGGCUAACUACGUGCCAGCAGCCGCGGUAAUACGGAGGUGGCAAGCGUUGUCCGGAUUUACUGGGUGUAAAGGGCGUGUAGCCGGGUUGACAAGUCAGAUGUGAAAUUCCGGGGCUCAACCCCGGACCUGCAUUUGAAACUGUUGGUCUUGAGUAUCGGAGAGGCAGGCGGAAUUCCUAGUGUAGCGGUGAAAUGCGUAGAUAUUAGGAGGAACACCAGUGGCGAAGGCGGCCUGCUGGACGACAACUGACGGUGAGGCGCGAAAGCGUGGGGAGCAAACAGGAUUAGAUACCCCGGUAGUC
rnacentral:rRNA from 1 species